CGGGCGCCGGGGCCUGCGGCGCGCCCAGCGGCUCCAGGUCCCCGGCUUUAGAAAGAAGACUUGACGCCUGUGACGACUCCCCUCUUAAGCCACAGACAAUAUGAGGACCCCGGGGGUCGGCGCGACCGGGCAGGAUCGCGCCCCGCUUGGGGCUGGACCCUGGUCCACGGAGCCCCGCCCCUAGCCCCGCCCACCACACCUGCCGCCUGCUCGAGGCUUGGACACGCCCGGGUCUUCUCUUGCCCCGCGCUGCGCCACCCGACCUGGGCCCUGGGAUGGGGCAGGGGCGGGGGGUGCUCGGCCCUGCCACACUGUGUGACCUUGGGAAGAUGCUUUUGCUGCUGCCAUUUCACAGACGGGAAAGCGACAACGGCCCGCCUGGACUUGAACACAGGCCCAAGGCCUUCUGACCACUUGCCCGCCUCUGCUGGUCUUGCUGUCUGUCCCCACGGCCUUCACUACUGUGUCCCUGGUGCCUAGAACAGAGCCUGGUACAUAGAAGGUGCUCGAUGAAUGCUUUUCCCUAUCCCAUUUUCAAGAGGAGAAAACUGAGGCGAUUUGCCAAGGGGAGAUCCACGUGGCUGCUUUGACAGAGAGUGUUCUGCAAAAGGGCUUAGAAAUCAGCCAGCAGGUGGCAGGUUCUGGGACUGCAGGAGCCAUUCACAUGCGUGAAGAUCCGCUGGGCGCCCUUGCUCUGGGAUCAGGAAAGGCCGGUGCCAUGGAUGUGAUAGAUGCACACAGGGCAUCAGCAGGCCGCCGAGAGGAACCAGAGUGUCCAACGAACAGAAAACAGUGCUCAACCUUCACAUUUAUCGAAUGUUCCUUGGCACAUGCUGUAAUUCUGGCCCUAAAGACACAUUCAUGGACAAGACAAGCAAUUCCUGUUCUCGUGGAGCUGAAAUUCUCCUGGGGGAAGACAAGCACUAAACAAGAUCAAUGAUUAAAGUAUAGAUUGUAUUAGAUUCUGGUCAGCACUAUGGAGGAAAAUACAGCAGGGGAGCAGAGCAGGAGUUCUGGGAGAUUUGAUUUUUUGUUUUCUGGGGUUUUUUGUUUGUUUGUUUUUUGAGACAGGGUCUCACUGCUGGAGUGCAGUGGCACGAUCUCUGCUCACUGCAGCCUCUGCUUCUUGGGCUCAGGUGAUCCUCCCACCUCAACCUCCCAAGUAGCUGGGACCACAGGGGCAUGCCACCACACCCAGCUGAUUUUUUAAUGUUUUGUAGAGAUCAGGUCUCAUUAUAUUGCCCAAGCUGGGGGAGUUGAUUUUAACUUUAUGUUAGAGUAGUCAGGGAAGACCUCACUGAGGUGACAUUUAAGCAAAAACCUGAAUGUGGUGAAGCAGGUAUCUGGGGGACCUUGGACCACACAAAGGGAACAGCAAGUGCAAAGGCCCUGAGGUAGGAGCACGUAGUUGUGGUGAUGACGGAGAGUAGCAGGAAUUUGUGUCAUAGAAAUAGUGGGGGCUGGCCAGGCACAGCGGCUCAUGCCUGCAAUCCUAGCACUUUGGGAGGCCGAGGUGGGUGGAUUACUUGAGGUCAGGAGUCUGAGACCAGCCUGGCCAACAUGGUGAAACCCCAUCUCUACUAAAAAUUAAAAAAAAAAAAAUGGCCAGGCAUGGUGGCGUGCAUCUGUAAUCCCAGCUAUUCAGGAGGCUGAGACAUGAGAAUCACUUGAACCCGGGAGGCGGAGGUUGCAGUGAGCCGAAAUUGUGCCUCUGCACUCCAACCUGGGUGACAAAGCAAGACUCUGCCUCCAAAAAAAAAAAAAUGGAACAUGGAAACAUGGAAUGGGAGAAAAUAUUUGCAAAUCAUAUAUCUGAUAAGGGGUUCAUAUCCAGAAUACAUAAAGAACUGUUACAACUCAACAGCAAUAAAAACAACUCAAUUAAAAAUGGGCAAAGGACUUGAAUAAACAUUUCUCCAGAGAAAACUGUGAAUGGCUAAUAAUCACAUGAUAAGAUACUCAACAUCACUAACCAUUAAGGAAAUACAAACCAAAACUGCAAUGAGGCGCAACACUUUGGUGGAUCACCUGAGGUCAAGAGUUGGAGACCAGCCUGGCCGACACGGUGAAACCCCGUCUCUACUAAAAAUACAAAAAUUAGCUGGGCGUGAUGGUACGUGCGUAUAGUCCCAGCUACUUGGGAGGCUGAGGCAGGAGAAUCACUUGAACCUGGGAGGUGGAGGUUGCAGCAAGCCAAGAUCACGCCACUGCACCCCAGCCUGGGCAACUGAGUGAGACUCCAUCUAAAAAACAAACAAAACGCAAUGAGAAGAGAGGAUUUUGAAUGUUCCCGACACAAAGAAAUGAUAAACGCUUGAGGUAAUGGAUAUCCUAAUUACCCAGAUUUGAUUAUUACACGUUGUAUACAUGUAUUGAAAUAUCAUUUUGUAACCCAUGAACAUGUACAAUUAUGUGUCAACUAAAAAUAAAAGGAAUAAAACACAAUGAGAUACCACCUUACGCCCAUUAGGCUGGCUGCUGCGUUGGGAAGGAUGUGUAGAAACUGGAAUGCUUGUGUAGCUACUGUGGGAAAUGGUAUGGCUGUUCCUCAAAAAAUUAAAAAUAGAAUUACCAAAUGACCCAGCAAUUUUAUUUCUGGGUGUGUAUCCAAACGAAUUGAAAGCAAGAUCUUGAAGAGAUAUUUGUACACUCACGUUCAUAGCAGCCUUCUUCACAAUAGCCAAAAGGUGGAAGCAAUUAGCUGGGUGUGGUGGCGGGUGCCUGUAAUCCCUGCUACUU
rnacentral:lncRNA from 10 species